CAUAGAAAAUUAACACCAUGUGAAGGUGAAGGCAGAGACUGGGUGAUGCUUCUAUAAACCAAGAAACUCCAAGGACUGUCAGCAAACCAGCAGAAGCUAGGAGAGAGGCAUGGAACGGAUUUCUCCUCACAGCCCUCAGAAGAAACCAACCCUGUCACCAUUUUGAUCUUGGACUUUAGCCUCUGGAACUGUGAGACAAUACAUUUCUGUUUGUUUCAGCCACCUAGUUCAUAGUACUUUGAAGUGACCUUUACACCACUCUCACUUAGAGAUGAGGUCUGUGUCCCCUCCUCUUGAAAUUGAGUGGCUUUUGUGACUGUGUACACAGGUAGAGUAAACUGCAGAGCUGCCUGUCUGUGACUUCCAAGGCUAGGUCAUAAAAGGAGAUAAAGCUUCUUCCUGGCUGGUUGGGCUGCUUGCUCUUGAAGCCUUCAGUCUCUAUGCACGCAGCAUGCCUUCCCAGCCUCCUGUGGUUGUAGAGUGUAUAGAAGGCAGUUGGAUCACUAUGGACAGCGGGUAAGAGCUGAGGAAGCAGCCUCCGCCAGGUGGUAACAUGGAGGACCCUGAAGCAGGCCAAUUAAAUCAAGCAUAUUCCUCAGUAUCAUGGAGAGACUGGAGGUUAGAGACACCAAAACCAUCCCUGGCUUAAUGACUUUGGGAUCCCUGGGCCCCUCCAUGCAGCAGAACGGCAAUUAACCAAGCAAAGGAAGAGAGGGCAGCAGGGCUGAAUCCUGUCAUGGAAUGCUUCCAUCUGCAAGUGGCACAUUUCAGUGGCCAAAGCAAAUUAUGCCAUCCCUGACUUCAAGACCAUUGGCCAUUCUCUGACCAUCUCAAGCCAGAGGUGACUUGAUCUGUCACCCAGCUGUGGCCCAUGAGCAUUAUCUAAGGAGGAACAUUUUUGCUUACGUUUCCAGUGCUCUACAUAAGCCCUAGGCCCUGGAAGGAGGCACUGAAAUGCUCAAUGGGAGCUCCAUGUGUGCAGGCUUAUGGACUGGUAUAUGCAUAGGAGCGAAAUUACUGAAUAACUUACGUGAAACAUUUUGACGAACUGUCAUAUUGUUACCCAAAGUGAUUGCACUGUUUUACAAAUCAUAUUGGCAAGGUAGGAGGGUUCUAAUUUCUCCUCAUCCUCACCAGCACUCGUUAUUGCUUGUCUUUUGAAAUUACAGCCAUCCUAAUCGU
rnacentral:lncRNA from 1 species